rnacentral:rRNA from 1 species
UACGGAGGGGGCUAGCGUUGUUCGGAAUUACUGGGCGUAAAGCGCACGUAGGCGGCUUUGUAAGUUAGAGGUGAAAGCCCAGGGCUUAACCCUGGAAUUGCCUUUAAGACUGCAUCGCUCGAAUUGUGGAGAGGUGAGUGGAAUUCCGAGUGUAGAGGUGAAAUUCGUAGAUAUUCGGAAGAACACCAGUGGCGAAGGCGACUCACUGGACACAUAUUGACGCUGAGGCACGAAAGCGUGGGGGAGACAAAGCAG